UACUUACUGCCACCGGGUAGUCUGCUUUAGAGCAUUCGUUUGUAUAUCGUUAGGUCUUAGAAGAUAUGCAUUGCGGGUGUUUUUAUUUU
rnacentral:ncRNA from 1 species